GAGUUUGAUCCUGGCUCAGAACGAACGCUGGCGGCAGGCCUAACACAUACAAGUCGAGCGCAUCCUUCGGGAUGAGCGGCGGACGGGUUAGUAACGCGUGGGAAUAUACCCAAUUCUAAGGAAUAGCCUCUGGAAACGGAGAGUAAUACCUUAUACGCCCUUCGGGGGAAAGAUUUAUCGGAAUUGGAUUAGCCCGCGUUAGAUUAGAUAGUUGGUGGGGUAACGGCCUACCAAGUCUACGAUCUAUAGCUGGUUUGAGAUGAUGAUCAGCCACACCGGGACUGAGACACGGCCCGGACUCCUACGGGAGGCAGCAGUGGGGAAUAUUGCGCAAUGGGCGAAAGCCUGACGCAGCCAUGCCGCGUGUGUGAAGAAGGCCUUAGGGUUGUAAAGCACUUUCAAUUGGGAGGAAAAGCUAACGACUAAUACUCGUUAGCCCUGACGUUACCUUUAGAAGAAGCACCGGCUAACUCCGUGCCAGCAGCCGCGGUAAUACGGAGGGUGCAAGCUUUAAUCGGAAUUACUGGGCGUAAAGCGCGCGUAGGCGGCUUUUUAAGUCGGAUGUGAAAGCCCCGGUCUCAAGCUGGGAACUCCACCCGAUACUGGCCGACUAGAGUACGAGAGAGGGAGGUAGAAUUCCAUGUGUAGCGGUGAAAUGCGUAGAUAUGUGGAGGAAUACCGGUGGCGAAGGCGGCCUCCUGGCUCGAUACUGACGCUGAGGUGCGAAAGCGUGGGGAGCAAACAGGAUUAGAUACCCUGGUAGUCCACGCCGUAAACGAUGUCUACUAGCCGUUGUGAGACUUGAUCUCUUAGUGGCGCAGCUAACGCAAUAAGAAGACCGCCUGGGGAGUACGGCCGCAAGGUUAAAACUCAAAUGAAUUGACGGGGGCCCGCACAAGCGGUGGAGCAUGUGGUUUAAUUCGAUGCAACGCGAAGAACCUUACCUGGUCUUGACAUCCUACGAACUUUCCAGAGAUGGAUUGGUGCCUUCGGGAACGUAGUGACAGGUGCUGCAUGGCUGUCGUCAGCUCGUGUCGUGAGAUGUUGGGUUAAGUCCCGUAACGAGCGCAACCCUUAUCCUUAUUUGCCAGCACGUAAUGGUGGGAACUCUAAGAACUGCCAGUGAUAAGCUGGAGGAAGGUGGGGAUGACGUCAAGUCCUCAUGGCCCUUACGUGUUGGGCUACACACGUGCUACAAUGGUAUCUACAACAGGAAGCAAGACUGCGAAGUUAAGCAAAUCCUUAAAAGAUACCUCAGUUCGGAUUGCACUCUGCAACUCGAGUGCAUGAAGCUGGAAUUACUAGUAAUCGUGGAUCAGCGUGCCACGGUGAAUGCGUUCCCGGGUCUUGUACACACCGCCCGUCACACCAUGGGAGUUGGUUCUACCUUAAGGCAAGGUUUUAAACCCUUGACCACGGUAUAGUCAGCGACUGGGGUGAAGUCGUAACAAGGUAACC
rnacentral:rRNA from 1 species